CAACUGGACUGAUAAUCCAGAAAACUCAACAACAUGAUCGUCGUCUUCUGCUUAAUGCUCAACAUGAUUCACGUUUUUGGCUCUUCUCUCAGCGAUCUGGUCCAUCAGACUCCAGCCGAGAUGGUCCAUGAGCCCGGAGGAAACGCCAUCAUCAGCUGCAGACACACCAUCGACAACUACGAUGUGAUCCUCUGGUACAAACACUCGACGGGCGGCCGGAUGCAGCUCCUGGGAUACAACAACGCUGCAAACGGAUACCCAGAGCCGGACGUUGAUGUGAAAAUCAGUGGCAGCGCAAGCAAAGACCAGAUCAGCACUCUGACAGUGGAAGACCUGAGCGUGAGCAGCAGCGCCGUUUAUUUCUGCGCCGCUAGAUACCACAGUGCUUCAUAUUAA